CCCUUUACUAUAAGCUGAGCUCUUCCUUUCUCACGAAGAAGCUACUAAUUUCUUGGAACGGACGAUAUCGGAAUACUGUGGUAUACAUCCUGACGUCUCCAUCCGAGUUUUUCAUUUGGAAAAAGAUUAAUGUGUUACUCCCGACUGACAACUCCUCAUCCAGGAUUUAAAAUACGUUUGACAAAUUAUGUCUACCUCUCACUCAAAUGAAUUUUUUUUUUUAAAUAUAUAUAAAGAUUUGAGUCUUCCCGAGUGAAUAUUGCGAAACUUUGAGAAAGGGUUAAUAAUACGCUUGUCAUUGACUUUGGCAUGAGAAAUUCAAAUUUAGAUGUCAAUGGUUUUCAUAUAAUUUCGUUUAAUUAAAACGUAAACAAAUUCACGGUAAUAUUAUAUAAAAUUUUUCAUUAGAGAAGAUAACUCUGCUGCGAAUGAAAGUCGCUUUCUCUGGUCCAUUUUACUAAUGACUGUUUUUUUCUACAAACUCGGGUAUUGUACCCAAAACUUCUCCCAGAGGGCAGGAGGUAGAAUUUGUCCGCCGUAAGGCAUGCCUGUGGUAAUAGUCGUCUAUAAUUUAAUAAGCACUAUGUCUAUUGUUUGUCUUACCUCGAAGUAUUUGCAUCUUCUUCUUUACUGGCGUAGACACCGCUUACGCGAUUAUAGCCGAAGUAUCAGCAUAGUCUUGUCAGAAAUAGCGCUAUAAUACUCAGCUUUAACUGAUACUUUGAGGAUAUUCCUUCUAAUGAAAAGACAUUUGAAGUUAAAGUGAUAAAUGUCAUUAGUCAUUGAGUUUGAUAGGUGCUCAACUAAUAGCAGCAAAAGCUACAAGGUCUGACCGGAGACUUACCACGGACCGGGGACCACGGGGAGCAGUAAGCCCUUGGAGUUCGCUCCAAUCUGAGUUUGACUCUUUAGGUAGAUUCGUGGUGGCUGUGGUUUACACCUCAAUUUAGGGAUAUUUAAAAAAAAUCAGUUCAGUGUGGAGUCACAUUCCGGCCGGGUGCCGGACCCACAGCAUGUGAGAAGUUUUAGAUCGGCCUUGAACCAGACGAAAGUGGAAGUGGUGUCCCUCGAACCUUACCAAGUGGAACCAAAUAAUACUUGAUCAACGAAUUGCUUUGAUCUAUGCGAUUUUAAGCACCGUUAGACUGUCCAAAUUAUUUUUAUUUUAUAAGGAAUAUGUAUAAUACUUCAAAGAAUAUAUAAUUAAUUUUGUAAAUACAUAUGUAUGUAAGUCAAAUAAUAAAAUAAUUGAUUUUGGAAUAGCAUACAUUCAAUUGAUUUUUACCUUUUAAAAAUUGUAAUGAUCAGGCGUUGCCUUUGCUGAAAAGUGUAUUCAAAAUUGAAAUGACAAUUUUUUUAACCAACUUUUCGACGCAGUUUGUAUUAUUAGCUUACAUACAUAAAUGUAUGUUUAUCAUAAUAAGCAAAUAAAUAUUACGUUAUUUCAUAAGAAACGCGAAAUCCAUGUAAACAGCGGCUAAACGCUGAUGAAGAAGGUUCUGCAUAAAUUGUGAUGCAAAAAUUGAAUUAGAUAUAGAGGGAGCAAAAGGGCCGGACGUACAGAAGUUUCGAUAGAUGUCCAUACAAUUUUAAUGAAUUUGCACGUGCAGCAAAAAUCUUAUAGUGAAAUUAGUGCAGAUACCUUAUUCAAAAGUGAGAAAUAUUAUAAAAUGAUAUGUACAUCAAUACCGGAGAUUUAGAGCACGAGAACAGGUCUGGACGCACAAAAAAUGCAUACCUCGUCAGGCUCGAGCUGUAAUAGCUGCAGUGAAUCAGAAUCCGAAGAUUUCAGCAGAACACUUUACACAAAGCUGGUUAUCAUGGGCGAGUUCCACGGCGUAAGUCAUUCAUUUCGGAUACUAAUAAAAAUAGAGGCUGUAGGUCACCAAACUUAAUCUUAAUCAACCGGAAUCUAAUAAUAAGGAUAAGGUAAUAAUGUCGAAUCAAAAUUUAAUAUGUCUGUUUCCAAUGGUGGGAAAAAAAACUUGGCGAAAACGAAACAAAGAGCUCCAGGAAAAUGACUGUAAUGGCGGCGGUAACGUAAUGGUUUGGGGGUGCAUUGCAGAAUCUGGUGAGAGAAAUCUUAAAGGAACAUUUAUCUUCCAGCGUUGAAAAGUUGGGCUUAAGCCGGCAGCCAUCCCUGUUACAACAAGACAAUGACCCGAAAAAUGCCUCAUAUGUUUUGCAAGAAUGGUUUAUCUUCCAUUGUAAGCAAUUAAAAACACCUCCGCAAUCCCCACUGGGGGAUUCCCCAGGCACAAACCCUAUAGGGCAUAUUUGGCAUCUACUUGAAAAAAAAUGCAGACUCACCAUAUAACAUUGAAGGAUCCAUUUAAAGGGGUCAUACGUACAGAAUGGGCAAAUAAAACUCCUGAGCAUACAU